CCUGAAUGUCAAUGCAUUUGGUUCUGAAUAUCAGAUGAAUUUUCGCCACUGACCGAACUGGGACGAAGGCCGGUUCAUGUGGACCGCGACCAAUCAGAGCGGAAAGUUAUAAUAACAGCGAUUUGAGCAAUGAGCAACGAGCACUUCCAGAGGGGUACAGGAGCCCGGCUCUGUCCGAAGGUCACCGCAUCACUAGGAUCCUGCAGCCGUCAGGUGGAGGCGAGAGGCUUAGUUCCCCCAGGACAGAUGUGAAGGUAACGCAGUCCCGUUCACUGCCUACUAAAACACCGUCCCAGGGAACACGACAACAGGUACCAUGGCUCUGAUACGCUAUGAAUGAGUCACACCCUCCUGUCGCUCCAAAGCUGACCGUCAGCUCCGAUUCCAGAGGAACCACUGCAGAGCAGACGCCUCCGUGUCUCAGCCUCCGUGUCUCAGCUUCCGUGUCUCUGCUUCCGUGUCUCCUGCAGAUGGAGGUUGUGGCUGACAGCAGAGGAAGGAAGCGGACGACUUGUAACGGGAAACGCGCUGUGACAGCUACAAACCUGAGGAGGAGGAGGCUGAGCUGGGAGGCAGCGGCGCCACAGACGGAUGAUGGAUGAGGGAACAUGGAGGCCGGGACGGAAGGAACGCGUGCCGCCACCUGCUCGGUGACUACGCGGUGCCGGACGGGUCGGCCCGUGUUCUGCUCAGGUGGGAUCCACUGAUCCACUAAAAUGAAAUAAAUGUUUUAAACAUCCGCCGAGGCCCAAACCAGCGCAGCGUCUGCAGCCUCGCGUCAGCGACAGCGUGUACUUCUCAUCAUUUUGCCCCCAGCUUCGUCUUCCUCCGCCGCCACUCUGCAGCUUCACAUGGCAGCGUUUCUGAACACAAGCCCACAUCUUUAACCUUUCAAACGCUGCCACCUGCCAACGGAGCGCUGACCACCCACACAUCCGCCGCGCCGCGCUCCCACCGCUCCGUUACAGCAAAGUCACCCGUGAAUCAUCAGAAACGCGCCAAAUUCUGCUCCGCAAGCAGAAGCGGAAGGAUGUGAGCGUUGGCCAUCAGAAGCUGGUUACUGGGAGCACUGGGAGGACUGGGAGGACACACUGGGUGCAGGUGGGAGACGUCGACUUGCCCUGGCUUUAAAGCCCAUUUUGCUUCUUUUUAGACCCAAUGAACCCAGACUGAGAACGAGGAGGAUCGUUUGCUUCCUGCAUCUUAAAGCGUCACAUAGUGAACGUUUCUCGUCCUCUCGUCCUUAAACAGAUGGUGAAAUGAGCCCCUGUGCUUCAGCCACACACGAACACCCCUUCGCUCGUCCUCUGCCUCGUUCACCCCCGUUUCCUCUGCAGACGACCCACGGAGCCCCCUCAUCCCCGUGUGAGGCCCGACUCCACUGACCGGCGUUCCACCUGCACAGCGACGCGCACAUAUCGCCGCCUCUGUCACGUCCGCCUCCGCAAGCGCUCGUUUUGGAGAAGGAGCCGCUUGAAGGAACGCGACGCUGCAUGUGGGGCAUCGCAGCUCGGCCUCAGGAGAGAAAACGGAAAACAAACGUUUCACGCUGGCGCAGACACAGCAGAAGGAGCCGAGCUGCGUCUGACCUGGCAACCCCUGACCUGGCAACCCCACCCUCCUCUCCUCUCUCUCUGACUUCUAUCUCAGUACUCAGUCCAUCUCAGCUCCACCCUCCCUCUCUGCACCCGUCCUUCUAUUCCCAGGCCACAUUAAACUGCUGUGUACAGAUAUUCAAUUAAAGGGCUGUUGCGUAUAAACGGAGGAACCUAAUGGCGGCGUACGCACACGCACACACUCAGGCACAGAUCACCAGGGACGAGAUGCAGACUAAUAUCACACACCAGUAGGUGCAAAGGGAUGGGGCGUUCUCGAGAUAUUUGUCACUGAGAUACAAUUGGAUUUAUGCGUGCGCUGUACAAGACUGCAGAUUUUAUCAUUCCACACUUCCUAUUGGUAACUUGUUCUAAGACGACAGCACAGGACUCACGUUCUGUUUCUCUCUCCUUUUUCUCUUAGACGAAUCCUCUGUGAUAAAGCUCAAAUCUAUUUUUAAAUCAAUCAGAGAGCGGCUCUGACACACUGUCGUGUGUUUACUCGGUCUUUUGAGUUGCGCUGGAUUCAGGGUUACAUUCAAAGCACGUUUGUCUUCCAAAAAGAAGCAGCAAGCUUGAAAUUAUUUUGAUAUUUUUGGUAUUUAUUCAAAUCUGACCUAAACAACUUUUGCAAACAUUAGCAGAGGCUCCUUUUUAGGAUGCAUGGGUGUUUGUCCAAAAAAAUAAAUAAAUAAGAAA